rnacentral:rRNA from 1 species
AUCUAGGGCCAUACCACCCUGAACGCGCCCGAUCUCGUCUGAUCUCGGAAGCUAAGCAGGGUCGGGCCUGGUUAGUACUUGGAUGGGAAAGGGCCGGGGAGAGGUGACGCAUGUC